UACGUAGGGGGCUAGCGUUGUUCGGAAUUACUGGGCGUAAAGCGCGCGCAGGCGGUCCUUCAAGUCAGAGGUGAAAGCCCAGAGCUCAACUCUGGAAUGGCCUUUGAGACUAGAGGACUUGGGUACGGGAGAGGUGAGUGGAAUUCCGAGUGUAGAGGUGAAAUUCGUAGAUAUUCGGAAGAACACCAGUGGCGAAGGCGGCUCACUGGCCCGUUACCGACGCUCAGGCGCGACAGCGUGGGGAGCAAACAGG
rnacentral:rRNA from 1 species